rfam:Capsicum annuum cultivar Zunla-1 chromosome 11, whole genome shotgun sequence
UAUUGGUGAUGCGGGAAAUCUCUAGAAAAAAACUUGAAUCUCUUUUAUGCAUGACAGAGAUUUUUGUCUGCCUUCCACUUGAAACUUAAGAUCUGACUCCUCAACCU